rnacentral:misc_RNA from 1 species
AGGAGUUGAGAAACUUUUCUCGCUGCUUGGGGAGAUGGAUUGAAAAUUGAACUCAAGGUCCUGCCUCUGGCCAUUCCUACUUCCUACCGCAGAUUUUGAAGGUCGGGGCAUUUCCUCUAUAUUAAUGUCGAGAGCCGGAGAGAGUAGUUCCAUAAUGUAGUUUACAGGCUGCAAGUGAACAUCAAGCAAUAAAGGAAUCAAUGUGCAAUGUAGUUUCCAGGCUGCAAGUGAACAUCAAGCAAUAAAGGAAUCAAUGUGCAAUGUAGUUUCCAGGCUGCAAGUGAACAUCAAGCAAUAAAGGAAUCAAUGUGCAAUGUAGUUUC